UAUUGUAAAGAACAGUCUGUAUAAAAAUAACCUUAAAAUAUUUAAUAUUGACUGAGUAAGGCCAUGUCAAAGACUGAAAUUGAACUGAAAUCAAACUGUGAUGUUUACAGACAGGAUCACAUAAACUGUCAGAACAUAGGGUCCAAAAAGUGACCCUUGAAGUCACUGGGGCAGAACCAGGGGCGGCACUACCUAUAGGCAGAGUAGGCAAAUGCCUAGGGCCUCAGGCUAGGAGGGGGGCCUCCACAACCGCUAAAUCCAUGUGCGCUAGUCCACAGCAAUAGACAAAGUUAUAAGUUGAGUUUGACUUUAUGCAACUACGCAAGAACCGCAGGCGGAUGACAUCAAUGUACAGCGAGAACGAUUGAUAAGCAGACUCCUCUGUAUGAUUUCUCAAAUCCCUCUCGCUGCACUUUGAUGUCAUCUGCCUGUCGGUUCUUGCAGCGCCGCAUGAAGUUGAAAAAGCCUAACCUAUAAUGAACAAAAUUAAAAACUCUGCAGCUGACUGACUUUAAGUGACGCUGAAAGCGGCUAUCACAUUCUUGUAUACUGCUUAGUGAAAACGGCAUGCGAAAACUAUGUAAGGUAUUUUGAAAUGAUUGCAAUGUAUUGUAAAAAAUAACCUUGGCUUUGUUCUGUGUAUCAACGUCAUUUCAGGACAGAUCACACUUGAGCACUGUUGUUGACUCUGUUUAGAUACUUUGAAUGUGUGUGCAUGAUAGCAUCGCAUGGGGUGCUGACUAAAAAGUUAGUAUUUAAAGUCAAACAGCAAACUAAGGCUAUGUUUACACGUGGGUGGCUAUUUUCAUAAACGGACAUUUUAACCUCUCCGGUUUCAAAAAUAAUAUCGUGCACACAUGUCAGUUUUCAGAAAAGUGUUUAUUGACACGUACCCGUGCAUAUAUGCCGUCAAGAGAAGCUCAAGCCCACGUAAGCCAAUCACCGGCAGCGCUGGUGGUGACGCGAACUGGUUCUUCAUGUUGGAGGGAGGAGUUGUUGCAGUAGGUGAUUGAUGACGUCAAAGUACCGCGAGAGCGAGUUGAGGAAUCACACGUAGAGGUCUAAUUUCACAUCGCUCUCGCGAUACUUUGACAUCAUCCGUCUGUCGGUUCUUGCAGCGCCGCAUGAAGUCAAACACGAGUAAAAUUGCUGACCUCUGAGCACUCGUCUCUGCUCCUCGACAUAAUGGAGGCGAGCAGCUGUAUUUGCAAAUACAAACACACGAAACGAGUUUGCACGAACAUAAAUGUGAUCUUGGAAGCGUUCAGAGUAGCAGUCACAUGUAAACAUAGGUCGCACUUUUGACGUAGGUGCGAGCUCUGGCACAUACUCUGUGACGUUAAACAUCCGUUUGUCUCAGUUUACAUGCAACCGUGCAACCGAAGAUUUUCAAGAUCUCCACUCUGGCUGGAGUUUUUAGAAACAAUCGGUUUCAGAGGCGAGUUCUCCAUUUUCGUGUAAACGAGGGGCACAAACGAAGCGGGUCCUCCUGUGUCCCAAUUACAUAGAUAUCAUGUGGGAUUUUAUUGGCUGUGUCAUCACGGGUUUUCCCCUGACCCUUCGACUGGAGCCAGGAAGUGAUGUUUUGUGGUGGACUUGCAUUUCCUGCAUUAAACAUGACAGAAAUGGUUUAUUUUACCUCUAAGUGCUGUAAAUGUCAUCCAUCACACAUUGUUCUUCGAAAUCUACACAAAAGAUCCAGGAGAUGAAGGCUGUUCCAGAAGCUUCUGCAAUGCCUCGAUACUCGGAAGUUUUUGCAGAUACUUAGUGUGAGCUUUUUAAAGUGAGGCAGAGUAGGGUUUCCAUUCUGCACCUGCUCUGCAUCCAGACACACAGAUGUACGGAAAUAUUCCUGGAUGGACUUCUGAUGGUCUUCAGGGAGACUGGAUAU